rnacentral:rRNA from 1 species
UAUGUGAUCGUCUCUCGCAUAUCAAUAAGCGGAGGAAAAGAAACUAACAAGGAUUCCCCUAGUAACGGCGAGUGAAGCGGGAAGAGCUCAAAUUUGAAAUCUUAAAGGGUUUCCCUUUACGAAUUGUAGUUUAAAGAAGUGUUUUCUGUUGAGGUUUUGGUAAAAGUUCUUUGGAAUAGGACAUCAUAGAGGGUGAGAAUCCCGUAUUGGACCUUUACUUUCAACUUUGUGAUACACUUUCAAAGAGUCGGAUUGUUUGGGAAUGCAGUCCAAAAUGGGUGGUAAAUUUCAUCUAAAGCUAAAUAUUGGCGAGAGACCGAUAGCGAACAAGUACCGUGAGGGAAAGAUGAAAAGAACUUUGAAAAGAGAGUUAAACAGUACGUGAAAUUGUCAAAAGGGAAGCGUUUGACACCAGUGUUGUUUUUCUGAAAAUCAAUUAAAGAACUGUUUAUGCUAAGUUGUUUAGACUUUAUCAGCUAACUGUUUAGUUUUGAGCUUUUCUUUAAUGCACUUUUCAGUUAACAAGUCAACAUCAAUUUCUUUUGCUGUAAAAAAGCUUGAGGAAGGUGGCUUGAGAUUCGUCUUAAGUGCUUAUAGCCUCUUGCCUAUGCAGUCGGAGAGAUUGAGGUCUGCAGCGUAGAUCCUUCGGGGCUAAAUGCAUUUGUGCUAAGUUAUAGCAUUUUAUAGACAACUUGUUGACUAUGAUUUGUCUUGUAGCUUACUCGCUUAUGUUAUUUUACCUACGCUUAGGAUGUUGAGCGCAUGUCUCUCUCU